rnacentral:rRNA from 1 species
GUCUACGGCUGUACCACCCUGAACAUGUCCAAUCUCAUCUGACCCAUCUCGUCUGACCUCGGAAGCUAAGCAGGGUCGGGCCUGGUUAGUACUUGGAUGGGAGAAAGCAUAACUCUUCAGAUA